rnacentral:rRNA from 1 species
GAUGAACGCUGGCGGCGUGCUUAACACAUGCAAGUCGAACGGACAGGCCGGGACUUUCUCUGUUGGACGUUUGGCGCACGGGUGAGUAACACGUGAGCAUACUGCCCCUGACUCUCGGAUAAGCCCUCGAAACGGCGGCUAAUACUGGAGACGAGCUGCUGAAGCAUCUUCUUCAGUUGUAAAGAACGUCGGUCAGGGAUGAGCUGGCGGCUUAUCAGCUUGUUGGUGAGGUAGCUGCUCACCAAGCCUUCGACGGGUAGGCGGCCUGAGAGGGUGGACGGGCACACGGGGACUGAGAGACGGAGCAGAAUGGUACGGGAGGCAGUGGUGGGGGAUAUGGCAGAGUGGGCGAAAGCGAGAGGCAGCAGCGCCGCGUGCGGGACGACGGCCUACGAGGGGAAAACAACUGUGAACGGAGAUGAAGCGAUAGUGACGGUACCUGAUGAAAAAGCCCCGGCUAACUACGUG